rnacentral:rRNA from 1 species
CCGAAAUAUAUUUAGGUAUAGCCUCGNGUUAUUAGUUAUGGGGGGUAGAGCACUGAAUGGAUGAUGGGGCCUACCGGCUUACUGACUUCAAUCAAACUCCGAAUACCCAUGACCGUAUCGCGGGAGUCAGACCUUGGGGGAUAAGCUCCAUGGUCGAAAGGGAAACAGCCCAGACCAUCAGUUAAGGUCCCAAAGCUGUUGCUAAGUGCAUAAGGAUCUGGAGUUGCUAAGACAGUGAGGAUGUUGGCUUAGAAGCAGCCACCAUUUAAAAAGUGCGUAAUAGCUUACUCAUCGAGCAACUUUGGGCCGAAAAUUAACGGGACUAAGCAACACACCGAAACUAUGGGUGUAUAUGAAUUUAUACGCGGUAGGAGAGCGUUCUACGUUAGAUUGAAGGUGUACCGAAAGGAACAUUGGACGAUGUAGAAGUGCUUAUGCAGACAUGAGUAGCGAUAAGGGGAGCGAGAAUCUCCCCCACCGAAAGCCUAAGGUUUCCUGGGGAAGGCAAAUCCGCCCAGGGUGAGUCGGGACCUAAGGCGAGGCCGAAGGGCGUAGUCGAAGGACAACAGGUUAAUAUUCCUGUACCACUUGGUAUGCGUUAUACCAAAGGAGGGACGCAGGAGGAUAGGUGAUCCGAGUGAUAGUUAUCUCGGUACAAGCGUGUAGGGUGUCCACUAGGUAAAUCCGGGGGACGUGACCUGAGACGUGAUGUGGAGCGCAAGCGAACUCAUUGAUUCCAUGCUGCCAAGAAAAUCUUCUAGGAAGUGUAACAAGUGCCCGUACUAAAACUGACACAGGUAGGCAGGUCGAAUAGACCAAGGUGCUCGAGAAAACUCUCGUUAAGGAACUCGGCAAAUUGGCCCCGUAACUUCGGGAUAAGGGGUGCCCCUCUGGUGAAGAACCUGCGUUCUCAGCUAUGGGGGGUCACAGUAAAUAGGUGGUAGCGACUGUUUAGCAAAAACACAGCACUAUGCCAAGUCGCAAGACGCAGUAUAUAGUGUGACGCCUGCCCAAUGCUGGAAGGUCAAGGGGAACGGUUAGCGCAAGCGAAGCUGUGAACUCAAGCCCCAGUGAAUGGCGGCCGUAACNAUGACGGUCCUAAGGUAGCGAAAUUCCUUGUCGGGUAAGUUCCGACCUGCAUGAAUGGCGUAACGACUUCCACACUGUCUCAACGAGAGGCUCGGCGAAAUUGUAGUAGUGGUGAAGAUGCCACUUUCCCGCACCUAGACGGAAAGACCCCGUGAACCUUUACUGUAACCUGGCAUUGGGUGUUUGUAUCAGUUGUGUAGCAUAGGUGGGAGACUUUGACCUCUGGACGCUAGUCCCGAGUGAGUCGUCAGUGAAAUACCACUCUGCUGUUAUGAGCAUCCUAACCGUGAUCCCUUGAAUCAGGGCGCGGAACAUUGUCAGGCGGGCAGUUUAACUGGGGCGGUUUCCUCCAAAAGAGUAACGGAGGAGUGCAAAGGUUACCUCAAGGCGGUUGGCUAUCGCCUGUCGAGUGCAAAAGCAUAAGGUAGCUUGACUGCGAGACACAUAGGUCGAGCAGGGACGAAAGUCGGCUUUAGUGAUCCGGUGAUUUCCGAGUGGAAGGGUCAUCGCUCAACAGAUAAAAGGUACUCCGGGGAUAACAGGCUUAUCUUCCCCAAGCGUCCACAGCGACGGGAAGGUUUGGCACCUCGAUGUCGGCUCAUCGCAUCCUGGGGCUGUAGUCGGUCCCAAGGGUUGGGCUGUUCGCCCAUUAAAGCGGUACGCGAGCUGGGUUCAGACCGUCGUGAGACAGGUUGGUCCCUAUCUGGUGUGGGUGUAGGAAAUUUGAGGAGAUAUGGUCCUAGUACGAGAGGAUUGGACUGUACCAGCCGCUGGUGUUUCUGUUGUCCUGCUAAGGGCAGUGCAGAGUAGCUAAGCUGGGAUUGGAUAAACGCUGAAAGCAUCUAAGCGUGAAGCCGACUCCAAAACUAGAUUUCCCCAUGAGGCUCCUGGAAGACCACCAGGUUGAUAGGCCGGAUGUGUAAGGACAGCGAUGUCUUCAGCUAACCGGUACUAAUAGGCCCAUCGACUUAGCCA